AGCUUUGCACAGUGGCAGUAUCAUAGCCAAUGAGGUUUAUCCAAGGCGUGAUCAUUGCUAAUUGAAUAAUACGUUGUUGGACCUGAAGAAGGUUAAAGAAGCAAAUGCACAUGAUUAUAGCAAUGUCAGUCAUGAC